rnacentral:rRNA from 1 species
GCUCAGGAUGAACGCUAGCGGCAGGCCUAACACAUGCAAGUCGAGGGGUAACAGGGAGCUUGCUCCGCUGACGACCGGCGCACGGGUGCGCAACGCGUAUGCAAUCUACCUCUUACUAAGGGAUAGCCCAGAGAAAUUUGGAUUAAUAUCUUAUGUGAUAUGUGACUGGCAUCGGUUACAUAUUAAAGGUUACGGUAAGAGAUGAGCAUGCGUCUCAUUAGUUAGUUGGUAAGGUAACGGCUUACCAAGACUUCGAUGAGUAGGGGUCCUGAGAGGGAGAUCCCCCACACUGGUACUGAGACACGGACCAGACUCCUACGGGAGGCAGCAGUGAGGAAUAUUGGACAAUGGACGGAAGUCUGAUCCAGCCAUGCCGCGUGUAGGAAGACUGCCCUAUGGGUUGUAAACUACUUUUAUACAGGAAGAAUAAGAUCUACGUGUAGAUUGAUGACGGUACUGUAAGAAUAAGGACCGGCUAACUCCGUGCCAGCAGCCGCGGUAAUACGGAGGGUCCGAGCGUUAUCCGGAAUUAUUGGGUUUAAAGGGUCCGUAGGCGGGCUGUUAAGUCAGAGGUGAAAUGCUGCGGCUCAACCGUAUGCACUGCCUUUGAUACUGGCGGUCUUGAGUUAUAGUGAAGUGGCUAGAAUAAGUAGUGUAGCGGUGAAAUGCAUAGAUAUUACUUAGAAUACCGAUUGCGAAGGCAGGUCACUAACUAUACACUGACGCUGAUGGACGAAAGCGUGGGUAGCGAACAGGAUUAGAUACCCUGGUAGUCCACGCCGUAAACGAUGGAUACUAGCUGUUCGGUUUUCGGACUGAGCGGCCAAGCGAAAGUGAUA